rnacentral:rRNA from 1 species
ACGACCCGUGACAUGUUGCAUACAACUUCGGGAGGGGAGGCGGUCGCUAUCUGGCCCCGUCUACCUUCCCUAUGUUGGAGCGUUCCCUUUACGGGUUCACCCCGACGUAAACAACUAACCCCGGCGCGGGACGCGCCAAGGAACAUGAACAAUAGUGUGCCCUUCCGCCCUGGCUUGCCGGUGUGCGGUCGAGACACCUAAUGAUCGAAUAUAAACGACUCUCGGCAACGGAUAUCUCGGCUCUCGCAUCGAUGAAGAACGUAGCGAAAUGCGAUACUUGGUGUGAAUUGCAGAAUCCCGUGAACCAUCGAGUCUUUGAACGCAAGUUGCGCCUGAAGCCAUUAGGCCGAAGGCACGUCUGCCUGGGCGUCACGCACCGCGUCUCCCCAUCCACCCCUCGCGGGUUGGAGGGGAAGGAGGAUGGCCUCCCGCGCCUCAAUCGGGUGCGGCUGGCCUAAAAAGGGAGCCCACGGUGAUGAGCUNCCGCGGCGAUUGGUGGUUGACAAGGCCUCGGCCGUAGUUGCAUCGCGUCGCGUGCGCACGUCGUCGGAUGGAGCUCGCAUGACCCUGAUCUAAACCGUUGCGACCCCAGGUCAGGCGGGGCUACCCGCUGAGUUUAAGCAUAUCAAUAAGCGGAGGA